UCACCGCUUUUAGAAAUGAUAGUAAUGACAUGAUCACAUGUCUGACGAUCUUGGAUCCCACACAAGAUGGACCCUCAGAGCAAGUUAACAAAUCCGCAGCCUACCAAGUCAUUGUGCAUUAUGCCCCUAAAUUCACUGAUGAAUAUGAUUACGUGGAAGUGGUCACAGGCGGAAAUGUGUCCUUCGGCUGCAGUGCUGAGGGUAACCCGCCUCCUGAAGUCAAGUGCAAGUACACAGUUGCUAUCAAUGCGAGGGAAACCACACGGGGUCGCCAGCAUACCGUUAGCAUCACAAGGGCCAAAUCGGCCAACGGUGGAAUUUACAACUGCGUUGCCACGAAUACAGUUGGUACUGCUACGCGGCAAAUUACACUGACGAUAACCACUCUAGGUCAUACCACUGGCGUUAACUACUAUCGGAUACUGGUUGUUAUUCCGGUCAUUAUCAUUAUCAUGUGUGUGCGUUG